rnacentral:piRNA from 2 species
UGACCUGAAAUGGUACAACAACCGGGUGAG